AGAGUUUGAUCCUGGCUCAGAACGAACGCUGGCGGCAGGCUUAACACAUGCAAGUCGAACGGUUGUAGCAAUACAGCAGUGGCAGACGGGUGAGUAACACGUGGGAACCUUCCUAGGGGUACGGAACAACUCAGGGAAACUUGAGCUAAUACCGUAUACGUCCGUAAGGAGAAAGAUUCAUCGCCCCUAGACGGGCCCGCGUAGGAUUAGGUAGUUGGUGAGGUAACGGCUCACCAAGCCUACGAUCCUUAGCUGAUCUGAGAGGAUGAUCAGCCACACUGGGACUGAGACACGGCCCAGACUCCUACGGGAGGCAGCAGUGGGGAAUCUUGGACAAUGGGCGCAAGCCUGAUCCAGCCAUGCCGCGUGAGUGAAGAAGGCCUUCGGGUUGUAAAGCUCUUUUACCAGGGACGAUAAUGACGGUACCUGAGAAUAGGCAGCAUCCU
rnacentral:rRNA from 1 species